rnacentral:rRNA from 1 species
UACGUAGGGAGCAAGCGUUGUCCGGAAUCAUUGGGCGUAAAGAGCGCGUAGGCGGUCCGGUAAGUCGGUUGUGAAAACUGGGGGCUCAACCCUCAGACGCCGACCGAUACUGUCGGGCUAGAGUCCGGAAGAGGCGAGUGGAAUUCCUGGUGUAGCGGUGAAAUGCGCAGAUAUCAGGAGGAACACCAGUGGCGAAGGCGGCUUCCUGGCCUGUUCUUGACGCUGAGGCGCGAAAGCUAGGGUAGCAAACGGG